GGAAGUAAAAGUUGUAACAAGGUUCCCGUAGGUGAACCUGCGGAAGGAUCAUUAUUGUAUAACCGAGGUGCGAGGGCUGUCGCUGACCCGAAAGGUCGUGCACGCCCGAGUGCCCUCACACACAUCCAUCUCACCCCUAUGUGCACCACCGCGUGGGUCCCCCUUUGGCUUGUUCGGAGGGGGGCUUACGUUUUCACACAAACUUUGUAUGCAGUGUAGAAUGUAUUUUUUGUUUUUGCGAUCACGCAAUCAAUACAACUUUCAACAACGGAUCUCUUGGCUCUC
rnacentral:misc_RNA from 1 species